rnacentral:tRNA from 1 species
CCUGGUGUCUCAGAUGUUAAGAAUCUGCCUGCGAUGCAGGAAACCCAGGUUCAAUCCCUGGGUCAGGA